rnacentral:tRNA from 1 species
GCCCGAUUAACUCAGUUGGUCAGAGUGUCGUACUAAUACAAUGAGCUUCCCGCUCCCUGUAUCUGGUCAUGCGAAAGUCGACAGUUCAAGCCUGUCAUUGGGCA